UCACUUACCUGGACGGGGUCAAUGGGUGAUCAAGAUGGUCCAUGGCCUAGGUUGGUGACCUCCAUUGCACUCAGGAGGGGUGCCUGCCUAAGGUCGGCCCAAGUGGUCGAGCCUACGUCAUAAUUUGUGGCAGUGGAGGCCUGCGUUCGCGCGGCCUCUGC
rnacentral:snRNA from 1 species